CGCGCGAGUACCAAUCGAAGGCCGGAUGUGGCCCUAGUGGGAGGAGAGGGCCGGGUUGAGGGUCGUGGGGUCCUAGCGCCAAACUGACGAGGGGGCGGAGAAGGUGGGCGGGACUAAAUCGCCCUAGCCUGUGACGUGCGGUGUAGUUGGGGAAACGCACCGUGGUUCCCCGUCGGGUCAGGAGAUCCCAAGCCUCAGGCUGGCGUGGGCGAAGCGUACAGUCCCUUCACCUUUCGCAACCCAGAAGCACAAGAGUCCAGUUCGCGCCAACUGACCUGUUUCUUCCUUCCUCUCCGGCACUCCGGGAGUCCUGAGAUUGCCUUGCUCGGUUCGUAGGUCUGAGCUUCUCCACCAAGGGUGCUCAGAUUCUCCAGGAAACUCCCCUCAGGGUUAGCAACCGCGGAGUGGGUUUCGGUCCCAAGAUAGAAAGUUUGCAACAGACACAGCAGCUAUGUUACAACCACAGAACAAGGUUUUGCAACAGAAUGGCCUUGAAAUAGAAUACUGCCCAGUUGAAACCUUAAGCAAUCAAAAUGGAAUAUAUGAAACCAUGCCUACUAGACUUCAUGUGUUGCUUCUUGUAAGGAAAGGUAUUGCCUUUUCAGGAGAAUGUUACUCUUUAAGUGGCGGUUUACCCUCUCUGUAUCAGAGUUCUCAAUUGCUGUAAUAUUCAGACAUAGCAGUGCAACUAAGACAUAAUCCUAUUGUCUAAAGUGUUACUUUAUGUCACUAAAAUGCAGCUUCAGAAAAUGUAUGUGCACAACUACUUGGUAAAAGUCACUGGUAAAAACUUACUGUAAAUGUCUACCUACCUGAACUCCAUUAGCACGUGAAUUUAAUAGCUGCAGUAGUGCUCAGAAACCAAAGCCUGUUUGUCAAAAAUGCGUUAAUCUCUUUCUCUCUCAUUUUUUUUUUUCUUCAAGAGGCCUCAUUACUUAGGCCCCAGAUGACUUGCUUGGGUUUCAAAGUGUUUUCUUUUUCCUCAGUUUUGUUUCUGAUAUGAAAUUGAAAUGAUAAAUAGCAACAUGUGGGCCACCCUGAUACACUGAAAAUUCUCCUUAGGCUACACAUGGUUCAUGAUAACUGUGUAAUAUGCUGCCAUUAGUACUGCUUAUCUGGCCAUCUCAAAAUAUUUUGUAAACACAGUGUAUCCACUCAAGGCCAGCCUAGUGGGAGUAACUCUUCCACAUUUUUCUCCAUUCCUACAUGCAUAAGGUUAUUUUUAAUGUGGAAACUUGAACAAUUUUUUUGAAGUUUUUUUUUCAGCAAUUGUGGGUAGACAUUUAUAAAAUUGACAUUUUAUAAAAAUGUCACAUGCCAGUGGCCAACAGGUUAGUAAUAGGGCUUUCGUAACCACACACAGUGCAUCCAGCCAAUCAUCAGUCUCAUACGCUAUCAAAUAGUUUUAAUUGUGUGACUGGGGGCACUAUUUUAAGACAAUUAGGUGAAACUGAACCCUCAGAAUAAGCACGAUUCCAGGGCAAUAUAGAAUACCAGUUUCCUUUGCUCUUUUUUUUUUUUUUUUCCUAUGCAAGAUUUUUGAUUUCUUGACUGGUUGGAAUAACUUACUUUAGGUGAUCUUGGCAUUGGUUGAAUUUUUCUAUAAAUUAAGAUUUGUGUUAAGUAGUUUAAUAGAAACUCAUGUACCGAAUAAGCUGUUAUAUAUAAGCACUCUUAAAUCCUUCCUUAUAUAGCACUUGAAGCUGUAAGAAGUUACAUAAAAUUGUCUUCACGUAAUCUAUUUUGUUUCAUAAUGAAAAGUGAUUGUUCACCUGUUACAUAUAACAGGACCAAAGGAUGGUGAAAGUUUGACCUGAAAAGUGAAGAAUCUCUUGCAUUUGUGAGUGUCUAUAUAAUGCAAAGAAAAGUGAAGAUUUGAUGUGUACUCAGUUCUAGUUAUUUUGAGAAAUGGGGAAAAUUAGUCUGGACUUUGUGGUCUAAAUUAUUUCAUUUGGAUUGGACUCUUGGGUUUGACUCUUUAUAUUAAAAAAAAUACUAUUGCUCAAAAAAAAAAAAAAAAA